UUCAGAAGGUGUUGGACAUUACAGGGGUCCAAACCUACAUUAUCAACAGCGCAAGGGUUGUUUUCUUGAAUGAGAGGCCUCAGCCAAGGCCUGGUAAAGGAGUCACCAACACUUGUGAAGUCUGUGAGCGUAGCCUUCUUGAUUCAUACCGUUUCUGUUCUCUUGGUUGCAAGGUAAACUAUCACUACACACAAUGUCAUCCAUUGUCUCAGAUUCUUCUAACCCUUUUCAAAUCCAAAACCCCUCAAAAAAAAUGGUUUUCCUUUUUCAAUGCCUUUUUCUUUGAAUUAAAAACCAUGACAUUGAGAUUCAUAUAUUAACAAUAUUACACCAAGGUAACAUUUUUUUUAUGUCAGUUUGCUUUGUUUUCAAGCCAGCACUUGAAUGUGUUUGACUUUUUCAUCUAUACCCAUGAAUGUUACUGUGGGUUUUCAAUUAAUUGCUCUGCCCAAUAUUUGAAUUUUUGUUUUUCAACAUUGGCCCUUGUUGAUCUUUCAAGAUUUGAAUUGUCAAUCUCUGAUUCUUGAUUUGAAUGGUUGUAUUUUUAUGAAUUAAAUAUUAAUGAAUGCAAGAAUGGAUUAUAGAUUGUGGGGACUUCAAGGAACUUCGAGAAGAAGAAAAAGUCAGCAACAAUGGCAUCAGAUUCAGAGGAUUCAUACAGCAGCAACAGCAGCCAUGGAAAGAACAACAGCAACAAGGUUCAGAGUUUCACACCGUCCACGCCACCACCGACUUCGGUUAAUUAUAGAACAGCCAAGAGAAGAAAGGGAAUACCACACCGUGCCCCAAUGGGAGGACUAGUGAUAGAAUACUAGACAGAUCGUAACUUUAGGUUAUUGCUAAAAUGUCCCUCAUAUUUACCUCAAAAUGCAACUUUCUCCGUGCAGUUUCACACUGUUCCAACACUCGAGCUUUUUGCUGAAAAAGGCCGGUGCUGGAAAUGUUCCCUUCUCUGUUCCUUACUUGUUAAUAGCGUUUGUCCAUAUAGGAAAAAUCCAAUAGGAAGUGGAAAAUGUUGAGAAAGUAGAAAAUAAG
rnacentral:lncRNA from 1 species